AUUUUAGGUAUCAAGAUGGCGGCCCCCAUGGAUCUGGAGUUGAAAAGGGCCUUCACAGAGCUUCAAGCCAAAGUUAUUGACACUCCACAGAAGGUGAAGCUUGCAGACAUACAGAUUGAGCAGCUAAACAGAAUGAAAAAGCAUGCACAUCUUACAGAUACAGAGAUUAUGACUUUGGUAGAUGAAACUAACAUGUAUGAAGGUGUAGGAAGAAUAUUUAUUCUUCAGUCCAAGGAGAUAAUUCACAAUCAGCUGUUAGAGAAACAAAGAAUAGCAGAAGACAAAAUAAAAGAAUUAGAACAGAAAAAAUCCUACCUGGAGCGGAGCGUUAAGGAAGCUGAAGACAAAAUCAGGGAGAUGCUGAUGGCACGAAGGGCCCAGUAGGGAGCCUCCAGGGAAAGCUCUUCCUUCUGACCCCUGCUCUGACGGACGUUUCAUCUGGGUGGCCUAGCAACCUCACAUUUUCUACAUAAAUCGUGAGCCCUUUCAGAUCUCAGCCCUGUAAUUUUCACCCUGGCUCUGCCUGCCACCCUGCCUAGACACUCUUCUUUUUUGGCGUGAGUCGCAAACUCCCAGGAGAGGGAAGAGGAGAGCCAGGACAGAGAAGGAAGCUCCCCCUGAGCCUGCCACUGCACGCACUGACCAGACCAAUAAAAGGCACCCGUCCCACCCUG